rnacentral:rRNA from 1 species
UAGUCCACGCCGUAAACGAUGAUCACUCGUUGUAUGCCUAUAUUUGGUAUGCGACUGAGCGAAAGCAUUAAGUGAUCCACCUGGGGAGUACGUCGGCAACGAUGAAACUCAAAGGAAUUGACGGGGGCCCGCACAAGCGGUGGAACAUGUGGUUUAAUUCGAUGAUACGCGAGGAACCUUACCUGGGCUUAAAUGUAGAACGACUUUCGCCGAAAGGCGAUUUUCCUUCGGGACGAUCUACAAGGUGCUGCAUGGUUGUCGUCAGCUCGUGCCGUGAGGUGUCGGGUUAAGUCCCAUAACGAGCGCAACCCCUAUUGUUAGUUACCAGCGGAUAAUGCCGGGGGACUCUAGCGAGACUGCCACCGUAAGGUGAGAGGAAGGUGGGGAUGACGUCAAAUCAGCACGGCCCUUAUGUCCAGGGCUACACACGUGUUACAAUGGCCAGUACAGAGGGCAGCUACCUGGUGACAGGAUGCAAAUCUCACAAAACUGGUACUCAUUCGGAUC